UUGUUUUGACAACAUAUAUGCUAAUAUUAGAACAGUACAGAGAAAACUAGCAGGAAACUUGUACCGGACUACAUGAAAAUUUAUGAGGGGUUUCACAUUUUU